rnacentral:rRNA from 1 species
UGGGGAAUAUUGGACAAUGGGCGAAAGCCUGAUCCAGCAAUGCCGCGUGAGUGAUGAAGGCCCUAGGGUUGUAAAGCUCUUUUACCAGGGAUGAUAAUGACAGUACCUGGAGAAUAAGCUCCGGCUAACUCCGUGCCAGCAGCCGCGGUAAUACGGAGGGAGCUAGCGUUGUUCGGAAUUACUGGGCGUAAAGCGCGCGUAGGCGGUCUAUUAAGUCAGGGGUGAAAUCCCGGGGCUCAACCCCGGAACUGCCCUUGAAACUGGCAGACUAGAAUCUUGGAGAGGCGAGUGGAAUUCCGAGUGUAGAGGUGAAAUUCGUAGAUAUUCGGAAGAACACCAGUGGCGAAGGCGACUCGCUGGACAAGUAUUGACGCUGAGGUGCGAAAGCGUGGGGAGCAAACAGGAUUAGAUACCCCCGUAGUCC